rnacentral:rRNA from 1 species
UACGAGGGGGGCAAGUGUUGUUCGGAAUCACUGGGCGUAAAGGGAGCGUAGGCGGAUGUUUAAGUUGGAUGUUUAAAACCGGGGCCCAACCUCGGAGCGGCAUCCAAAACUGGGCAUCUUGAAUAGGUCAGAGGCUGGUGGAAUUGGAGGUGUAGCGGUGGAAUGCGUAGAGAUCUCCAAGAACACCUAUUGCGAAGGCAGCCAGCUGGGACAAUAUUGACGCUGAGGCUCGAAAGCAUGGGGAGCAAACAGG